rnacentral:lncRNA from 1 species
GGUGCUUGCGAGGUAAAUUGCUCAGUAAUCUAACUUCGAGCAUAAUUUCCAGAUUUUCUAAUUCAAGAUAGUUCAUCUUGAUAAGUUGGUUUAUGUCAUAGUUGAUUUAGCAAGAUAAUUAUUGAGUGCCUCCACUUAAUAGCUAAACUGUUUCUUCUGAGAACAAAGUUAUAUAUAUCAGUUUGAUAUACGUUGUAUACGAGAGUAUAUUCUCCCCUCACAAGUGGU